CUACGAGUGGCACCAGUGAGGAAUAUUGCACAAUGGGGGGAACCCUGAUGCAGCAACGCCGCGUGGAGGAUGACGCAUUUCGGUGUGUAAACUCCUUUUAUAUGUCAAGAAAAUGACGGUAGCAUAUGAAUAAGCACCGACUAACUCCGUGCCAGCAGCCGCGGUAAUACGGAGGGUGCAAGCGUUACUCGGAAUCACUGGGCGUAAAGGACGCGUAGGCGGGUUGGAAAGUCAGGUGUGAAAUCCUACAGCUUAACUGUAGAACUGCACUUGAAACUUCUAAUCUAGAGUAUGGGAGGGGGAGAUGGAAUUAGUGGUGUAGGGGUAAAAUCCGUAGAUAUCACUAGGAAUACCUAAAGCGAAGGCGAUCUCCUGGAACAUUACUGACGCUAAGGCGUGAAAGCGUGGGGAGCAAACAGGAUUAGAUACCCCCGUAGUC
rnacentral:rRNA from 1 species